GCCUACGGGGCGCAGCAGUGGGGAAUAUUGCACAAUGGGGGAAACCCUGAUGCAGCAACGCCGCGUGAGUGAAGAAGUAUUUCGGUAUGUAAAGCUCUAUCAGCAGGGAAGAGAAUGACGGUACCUGACUAAGAAGCCCCGGCUAACUACGUGCCAGCAGCCGCGGUAAUACGUAGGGGGCAAGCGUUAUCCGGAAUUACUGGGUGUAAAGGGAGCGUAGACGGUAAUGCAAGACUGGAGUGAAAGGCGGGGGGCCAAACCCCGGAAUGCGC
rnacentral:rRNA from 1 species